CUUGGGGUGGGGGUUCCAUCAGCCCAAAUUGCGAGGGUGCAGGCCAGGCUGAGGGACCCCACCUGUGCACA
rnacentral:pre_miRNA from 1 species